ACGUGCCAGCANCCGCGUNAAUACGUAGGUGGCAAGCGUUUUCCGGAUUUACUGGGCGUAAAGAGCGCGCAGGCGGUCGGAUCAGUCGAAUGUGAAAGCCCCCGGCUCAACUGGGGAGGGUCAUUCGUUACUGUCCGACUCGAAGGCAGGAGAGGGAAGCGGAAUUCCCGGUGUAGUGGUGAAAUGCGUAGAUAUCGGGAGGAACACCAGUGGCGAAGGCGGCUUUCUGGCCUGUUCUUGACGCUGAGGCGCGAAAGCUAGGGGAGCGAACGGGAUUAGAUACCCCGGUAGUCCUANCCGUAAACGAUGGACACUAGGUGUUGGUGGUAUCAACCCCACCAGUGCCGUAGCUAACGCAUUAAGUGUCCCGCCUGG
rnacentral:rRNA from 1 species